CUCGUCACCGGUCCAGUUCCCCGCCAGAGCCUGGCCCGUCAUCAAACCCUACCACACCACCCUGCUAUGCCUUGGCUCGGCAAAUAAGUUGCACUGCGGUAACAUAAAUUAGGUAUGAUUCAUUUUUGAUGUAUUGAUUUGAUUUGCGUUACUUUCGAUGCAAUGCUUGCUUCGAUGAAUUUUGUGAGUGUAUCUCCAUGCUUGCUUUGAUGUGUUGAUUGCUAUGUCAUUUGACAAUUUUGGUUAAUCUCUUAUGCAGAUCACAAUAAUAUGAUUCUCAAUCAUGGCGGUAAUUUUAGUUUUUGACAUGAUUUCAGAAUUCCAUGCUUCCAUACAAGUUUAUCGUGUACCCAAACUAGUAUGUUCGUGAUUCUUAGUUCUGUAGUGUGCCUCCAAAAUUUCAAUGUGCACAUGUUCUCCGGUAGGUGGGUCAUAUUAUGAAAUCAUUUUUUUAUGUUGACGAGUGAUCUUAAAUAUGUCGAGAUAAUAUAAAAUUAUUGCUUUCUCUAACCUAAGUUGCAUGCUUUUGAUAUACACAUGUCUUGUAGCACAACAUCCAUGUUUUUCUAUUUGGUAUAUGUGCUUCUAUGGUACAGAGUUUCUAUUGCUACAUGAUCUCUUUAUUUCUCAUCUAUGUCAGCAAUACAUGUCACAUGCGUGAAUUCUUUUUCGAGAAACAAUGCAUACAUGUUUUCACAUAUGCAAAGAGACAACAUUUAGGAUUUUUUUCUUCGGAUAUUCAUGCUUCCACUCAUUAGUAUUUAUGUAACUACACCUUGUUGUUCAUGAUUUUUAACCAUUUGCGGUUUUACACUAUAAUAUGCAUAUGCUUCAUAAUUGUAUGCAUCUCGACCUUUAUCAUAAUAUUAAUUUUCGUUAAUUUUUCAAAUUUCCAUGCUCCCAUCCCAAGUUACCAUGUCCAUGUGCUUCUUUUUAUGCAGCAUCCAAAUGGCAAUAUAGAUGCUUCUGAACAAUAUACAAUCUGAAUCAUCUGAAGCAGAGUGCAUGCCGAAGAUCCGAUAGGUUGUCAUUUGUAUGCUUCUGAUAGGCCUCGCAUGUGUUGUUAUUGCAAAAAAAAUCCUACAGACAUUUGAUACUUCAUUUUUAUCCAAAAGUGCUUGUACGUGCACAUGGAUUGGCAGUACAACUACACUUUUCAGGUUUGGCAUCUCUUCUUUCUAUUAUGUUGAAUUAUUUGGAAUGAUCCCAUAAAUAUUCGUGCUUCUGCAUUUCAUAGAGUUUCCGGCAUUUAAACCAUGCUUCCAUUUUUUAUACUCAUGUUUGACGUGAGAUAGCAAAAAUUGAUGCUCGCAAAUACCAAUGCUUUCUGUGUUGUACUUCAAUCCAGAACUCCAGAUAGGUUGUGUCGAAUGUUCACAAUUA
rnacentral:lncRNA from 1 species